ACUGUUCUGACGCAUUCCCUAACUUACAGCCGGUGCGUAUCGCGGAAGCGGUCGAACUCCGCUGCGAGAAAACGACCUUAUCUUCUCCAGGCAGCCGAAGGUGAAAGGCAAAGUCGAUCGCUGCCGCAGAAAAUCGAAGGAGGUGCAUGGGCUACAGUACAGCAAGUUAACAAGCACGUUUACAAUAGACUAUUGUCCUUAGAACGCGCGCUACAUGUUUCAAGUAACAUUUUGCUGGGAUUGAGCAUAUAAACUUUUCAGUUCUUUCAAUUAUUGGGCAAAUGUAGGCUAAUUCCCAUAAUCCUAGCCUAUGUAGGAAAUUAUAGUAACAACUGAUAUCAAGUAUCAGACUGAUAUCAUGGAACAGCUUGUAAAAUUAAACAAAUGUAUAGUGAAUAUUGGAUUAGGCGACCACUUCUUUCUUUUGAACCGCAAGACAAUUUUUUCUCGAAAUACGUAAAUUAUAUUGUUGUCUACAGUUAGCCUAUGCAUCGCGGUAAUUUUAGAACGUGAUGUCACAUGGGGUAUUUAAAGCGUAAGAAGCCCAACAAGAGUGUUUGUGAAUGAAUUCGCUGUACGAGUUAAUCACGAGUCUCUCCUCUCCUCUCCAGUCCUUAGUCCUUUGUUGUGUAGGUACGUAGCUGUACUGAUUCGUGCCCGUGAGGCAAGGUGACGUUAGGGCUUGGCAGCCCUGGACCCGGGCGUUUAGCAGACCAAUCUCUUAGAGCUCCAAUUUCUUCAAGGGUGUUUAAUAUUCAAGCCGUCAGCAUAGAGCUGCAUUCAUAUCCGAAAUGCUGACAGCUGAACAAGAUGGAAGAGCUUUGAAGAGCAGUAUAAAGCACUGCCAGAGGUUAGGCUGCCAUUUUGGGAAAAAAGGAUAAAACAGCCUAUAAUUAAACUACAUGUACAUUGCUCUUGAUGGCAUUUUUUCUCUCAAACGAGCAAAGUGAAUACCUUUCACCUCUGUAAAGCAAUCGGGUAAAAUACAAGGUAAUGAUUUGGUGGAUGGGCUUCAAAGUUGUGAAAGAAAACCAGUUGAGUUCUGGAAAAGGAACACAGACACAAAGUUUUGGCCCCAUUUCUAUAUAAUAUCUAGGUCACAAUUAUUUUUAGUCAUAGUUGCUCUGUGUUUAAGACAAUAUAUAAAAGUUAGCUACAGUACACACAUUCACAUUGACCAUUUGAUUGCAUACUGCAUAGGUUUGCUGCUGUCAUUUUCCUCGGAGAACUACAACUCCUGAAACAGAACUACAAUGUCUUGAUUCUGCAGUUCAAAGUUCACACUGGACAACUGAUUUACAUACAUGCGAAUUACAUGCUAAUUUCCACCACUACUUGGUAGUCUUAGGCAGUCUCAUAUCUGCAUACUUUGGCAAGCCUUGUAAAAUUGUCUCGGGGCUGCUCAAACUUGUUUUUGUUGAAUUGAGCUGUGAUGAGAACGAUAAAGUAACUUGCACGAAAAGCUUAUACUUAAUUAUGAGUUUUAUGUCUGUAUUAUUACAACUUUAAAUUGUGUGGCUAUAGUAUAUAUAUAUAUAUAUAUAUAUAUAUAUACACACAUUUGAUGCUGGUCCAGGCAAUACACAGUAUGUAUACAGGAGUGAGGGAGUGUGCUCAUCACUAUGCUCACAUUGACCAAAAUGAUCCUAAGUUUGAAUGGGCUUGAGAGAGAAACUGGAACACCCAUGCAUCGAUGUGAAUGACAAAGCAGGAAAGAGUUUACAUGGCACUUUAUUUUAGUUCAAUUAUAUCUAUGUGCAUAAGCAAGGUUUUUCAUAACAUUUCACAGAAUAGAGAUUUGUAUCCACAUUUUCUGUACUGAUCACAUUUUGAUUGAUAAAAAUAAUCACAAUACUCAACACUAUUGGUGCAGUGCAGCUGGUCGUUCUUAAAACAUCGGUCAUCAACAAUGGAGACAAACACAUUUUUUUUAAAGCCUCGUAACUCUUUGUCUUAUAUUUUUAUUUUCCCAGUGGCUUACACAGCUAUAUACACACAAAGAAACUAAACCCCAGUUAUACCCAUGUUAAAAGUACCUAUGACUAAAUAAGCUGAUGAUAUAAUAAUAAAAACUAAAUGUAUAUAUUCUUAACAUUGACAUAGCGUUCGCUCUUAAUUACAAUGCAUUGUACCAUGAUUGAUCACAACUGGGGAGAAAUCGGUCCUGCAUGCUAGACUGGGCGAUAACGUUUGUUGGCCAGAACGCGGUGUCUAUCCAGCAAAUGGCCACAGGCCCAGAGGCUGAGAACGUCACAUGAUCCUGGAAGUCAGUGCUACCACGCCUGCUGCUG